rnacentral:rRNA from 1 species
GAUGAACGCUGGCGGCGUGCCUAAUACAUGCAAGUCGAGCGAACAGACGAGGAGCUUGCUCCUCUGACGUUAGCGGCGGACGGGUGAGUAACACGUGGAUAACCUACCUAUAAGACUGGGAUAACUUCGGGAAACCGGAGCUAAUACCGGAUAAUAUAUUGAACCGCAUGGUUCAAUAGUGAAAGGCGGUUUUGCUGUCACUUAUAGAUGGAUCCGCGCCGCAUUAGCUAGUUGGUAAGGUAACGGCUUACCAAGGCAACGAUGCGUAGCCGACCUGAGAGGGUGAUCGGCCACACUGGAACUGGGACACGGUCCAGACUCCUACGGGAGGCAGCAGUAGGGAAUCUUCCGCAAUGGGCGAAAGCCUGACGGAGCAACGCCGCGUGAGUGAUGAAGGUCUUCGGAUCGUAAAACUCUGUUAUUAGGGAAGAACAAAUGUGUAAGUAACUAUGCACGUCUUGACGGUACCUAAUCAGAAAGCCACGGCUAACUACGUG